rnacentral:sRNA from 1 species
UUCCUGAAAUGCAGACGGGUUAUAUUCAUCUGCAUAUCGGGAAUUCACUUGGGAUCGCGACCACGGAUGUACUGGCGUAACUCAGGUGAAAGCGGAAGGUCGGGUUCAACCCGGCCUUUUUCGCUU